UUCACCACCUCGGGGACAUCCAAUGAAAUUGGAACGAUACAGAGAAAAUUACUAUGGUCUCUGCAAAGAUGACACACGAAUAGAGAAAUGGUUAGAUUUAUU